UGUAUUGGAUAUAUCAUCUACUGGUGAUGGUAAUACAGUAUGUGAACUGACAUUAUCAGGAAUAGGCUGACCUAAUGUAUGGAGUUUUAGAGUCUAAUGACUGUUGAUCAUCAAUAAGAAUGUUAGAUUUUGCUUUGCCCAGUUGAUCAGGAAAGUCAUCACAUAGUUUUAUUAAUGCAUCCCAAUUGACAUCUUUAUCAGCAUCAAACCACCUCUGGAAUACCAACAUAAGAUUGUUAGUUGCUGCUCCUGGUAUUUGCAUCAGAUCAGACACAUUUACACUCAAUCCAGUCCCUAUUAGCAUGUAAUGGACCAGGAUUAUCCACACCAUCAUGAGUACUUAUUCCAGCUGUGGGAUCUGUUACUUUGUUUCCAAUGGUUCUAGCUAGUUCAUUCUCUUUACAUUGUUUCAAAGCAUUAAUGACAUCUCUCCAUGAUGCUGUAGGAUUAACUUGUAGCCAUUUCUUAUGUAAAGCCAUUUUCUUAAGAUUGUGUUAUUCCAGGAAGACAAAGAGCAAAUGGUUUCCAGUCGACAAGUGGUUUAAGACACCUUGCAAAGACGAGACAAGUUGGUUGAUCAUCAAUCAUAGGACCAGGAUUGAGUUCAACAUCUCCUGAUAAGAGGAGGAGGAGAAGUAAAAACAAAUAGUAGAUAAGGUCAGAGCUACUUCCAAUAGUAGCUAUAAACAAGACUAAUGACUGGAGGCAGAUCAUUGCAGUAACAGAAAUUAUACCUAUUAUAUAAAUACA